UGCUUGGAUGUGGAAACUUUAUGUUCUCUUUUGCUCCUCCCUCUCCAUAUGCAAUAGCCUGUGUUGUUCAGAGCUCAGCAGUAAUGGCUGGAUGGGUAAAACCUCAAAAGCUGUCGGUGCAGCGUAGAUGCAGAAGGAACGCGAGGGAAUGUGAACUCUUUGAUGUACUGAACCACCACAAAUGUCAGUCAUAUAUCGGUGAGCGGGAGGGACGGAGAGAACACUGUUAGGAAGUCAUUCGCCAUGAAUACUGCUGCAGCUGUCUCUAUCCUUUGGUGGUCUCGUGUUUUAAAUGCUUCGCCACAACAUACCCACCACUUUAAUCUCCCUGUCACUCCAUCUCUCUCCCCUCUUCAUCUUCUACCACCAACCUUUAGCUUUUUUCCCCAAGAGAUCAGAUGAGAGUUGAGUUUGAUCGGUCCAGAUAUUCCACUUGGAAGAAGGAACGCAACAUCCUCUCUCUCAUACGGUUGGAGAGAAAGGAGAGGGAUCAACCAUGAAAGGGCUAUUGUGGUGUUGGUCCGGCUCACUCAGAAUGCAUCAGCAAGAAGGCAAAGCAAACGCCUUACAGAUUGCAUUCUGAUUGAGCCGCGCCAAUAUCUCAGCACUCUUUUCAUUCCUCACUCCUCAGCGCAUGCAGUUCUGUUGCCAUCUCUCUGGAUUACAUCUAAGCCUGCUUGCAACUCCCUCAUUCCAAACUUCUAGCGGUGGCCGUGACACUGAGUUUGCUGUGAUUAGUGACUCCGCACUGCAACCCAGUGCAUGCAGGUGUUGAUGGUGAGAACCAGACAAUAUAUUACGGAUUUGAUAACGUCUUCCACACAAUCAAGGAUUGUUGAAUUGAAUCCGCGUUAAAUUCAAACCGAGAGUUGCGAAUACAUGGAAAUGCAAGCUUCCUCCACUUGCAUGUCGACACAGGCUUCCUCUGUUAUCAUGAUUUGGUUUAGCUUCGGACCUCUUGUUGAA